rnacentral:rRNA from 1 species
AUACGUAGGGAGCGAGCGUUGUCCGGAAUUACUGGGUGUAAAGGGAGCGUAGGCGGGAGUGCAAGGCAGAUGUGAAAUACAUGGGCUCAACCCAUGGGCUGCAUUUGAAACUGCAUUUCUUGAGUGCAGAAGAGGUAAGCGGAAUUCCCAGUGUAGCGGUGAGAUGCGUAGAGAUUGGGAAGAACACCAGUGGCGAAGGCGGCUUACUGGGCUGUAACUGACGCUGAGGCGCGAAAGCGUGGGGAGCGAACAGGAUUAGAUACCCUGGUAGUCCACGCUGUAAACGAUGAAUGCUAGGUGUAGGGGGUAUCGACCCCUUCUGUGCCGCAGUCAACACAAUAAGCAUUCCGCCUGGGGAGUACGGCCGCAAGGUUGAAACUCAAAUGAAUUGGCGGGG